UGAAUUCAGCAUGGCUAACUCACGCAAUUGUUGUCGCUUUAUGUAGUCCUGUGACUCGUCCUGCAAACACAACGUUAUGUAAAACCAAGGCAGGGAUUUACCCGUACAAUGUGCUAGGUAAAUCUUAUAUAUAUUUGG